ACUCGAACGACGGCCAUUUGAGGAGGAUAUUUGGGGACAGCUCAGAUCAAUAAGGGAGGGGGAAAUCCUGGCAAGACACGGACUCGUAGCUCAGCGGGUGCCCAAGGGUUGGGUAAGUGGAAUGGUGCAGGGGAACGAUGGCAUUCUGGUGCUUCACUCUUGGAAAUACCUCUUUUGGCCCACGGGAUGGAUGGCGCCUUGGCUCCGUCCAGCUGUGUUUAUCACUCAUAUCAUCGUGGCUCCUUUAACCGCCAUUUCUAAGCUUCAGCUGCAGACACCUCUGCAUCAAAACCGAGGGCACUUUCGGUUGCCGUCCUUCAUUAUAAAUCCUCCAGCAGUACGGCCAAAAAUGCCAAGCCAAGGGGACUGCUUCAGGCACACGUAUUGCCUGAUGUGCUUUAAGCCCUGCCAGCUUCAGCAGGAUGGAGGCAUUCACCUACAAUGAAAUCCGAGGUGUUUCAGGCACAGUUAAAGGGAACUGCACUCCUCCAUUUGCAAUGGGAUUUCAGCAAAUGAUUUCCUGCAGCACUUGGAAAAUCCUCUCCCAGGUGCCCGGCGGGCAGCAGUGGAGCACCAAGCACAGCUUUGCCUUUUGCUUGCUUUCUUCUAUGAUUUAUUUCUGUCUCCAUGUGAGAGUUAUUGAGUACUUUAUUUUGCGGAUUAGAAGAAAAAAAUAAGUUAGAAAUGUGAAAGAGGAUUAAAGCAAGGAGGAUACAUUGCAGCCGGCGGUGAUGGGGCCGUUAUCAGCCCUGAAGCUCCGUGCUGGGAGCAGAUAGAGCUGAGGGGAUAAGGGCAGGGGAAGGCUGAGCUUGGGGGUGUGUGGGGCUGCCCGUGUCUGUCUGUCUGUCCCCAGGAACCUCGGGAACACUGCUGGCACCGCACGGAUGGCGGAGAUGGAGCACUGUGUGUGGUGGGUGCCUGUUGUCACCUCAGCUGUGACCCUGCUGCUCUACGCUCUGCUCCUGCUGCUGCUUUACAUCAUGCUCAGCAGGAAAAUAGGCAGGCAUUGCUGCAGUGCGCAGGUGAGCGGUGGUCCCGCAGCACAGCCCCAGCAGCUGCCCACAUCUACAGCUGGAGGGGAAGGGGUGCAACGACCGAACUAUACAGGUAAGGGGGAUCCUGCAGCACAGCCACACGUUGCUUUGUGCUCUGUGCUGCGUGCUUUGUGCUUUGUGCAGUGCUUACACAGCGUCGCUCAGUGCAGCUCCUCCGGGUGCCAAUGCGGAGCAGGCGGUCUGCAGCCAUGCACAGUGUGUGCAGCAGCUGUGUGCAUUUUGGGCCUCUCCUGCUCCCCGUGGGCACUGCCCGUGGGCAGGGGGGGUGGAUGGGGUGGGAUCACACUGUGCCUGCUGCAUUUUCACUGUUCACUUUUGCGUGUAUGAGCAUUAUGGGCUGAGAGCACUCCCAUGUGUGCGCCACUGCUACCGACGGGGAGCGCAGAGGUGGCUGCUCCUGCUGCUCACACUGUUCUCAAAUGGCUUUUUCUCCCUGAUUACACAUUUCUGGGGUACGUGUCCUGUUUUGAAGGGAGCAGCGAGACGUCUUCAGAGACCUCGGAGGACUCGGACAGCAGCUCUCUGCACCCGCAGGAAAGGAAAACCUGCUCAAAGGAAAACCUCAACUACACAUCCGUGCUGUUCCCAGGGAAGGGCCACGGGCAGGGCUCCAAUAGGAACUACGAGAACAUCAAGAUCGGCGCCGAUUACGUCAACGUGGACCCAAAAAAGAAGAAAGCUGAUUUCUGGACCUUCUCCGGCCCCGUGGCAUCCGCGUCCAUCGAAUACACGGAGGUGAAACCGUGACACUCCCUGGGGUCCCACUGCAGCCCUCACUCCGUGCCCAGGUCAGUGCUGGCACAGGGCUGCUGCCAUUCCCUGUGACGGCGCAGCUCCCCCAGGGAUCUCUCGGGGUCGGAGGCUGUGGGUGUGGGGUGAUAUGGGGCUGCCCCACACCUCCCCGUGGGGAAACGGUCCUUCUCAGACUGCCACAAGCUCUGCACGUGAGUGUGAACGCCGCUUUCUCAUCUUGUGAAAGCAAACGCUCCCCUGGCGGGAUGUGGGUCAGAGGGGGAAAUGCCAUCGUUCCCAAAACAUCUCCCCAUUGGGCUGGCAUCUCCUAUGAAUCAUGCUUCCUUUGCUGAUUGCUGUCAUAAAAACCUUUCAAAUACACU
rnacentral:lncRNA from 7 species